AAGAGCCGGAUGCGUUGAGAGGCGCACGUCCGGUUCUGUGAGCGGCUGAUGCUGAAAUGCAUGGGUCUACUCGAC
rnacentral:ncRNA from 1 species